AUUGAACGCUGGCGGCAUGCUUUACACAUGCAAGUCGAACGGUAACAGGCCGCAAGGUGCUGACGAGUGGCGAACGGGUGAGUAGUGCAUCGGAACGUGCCCAGUCGUGGGGGAUAACUGCUCGAAAGAGCAGCUAAUACCGCAUACGAUCUAUGGAUGAAAGCGGGGGACCGUAAGGCCUCGCGCGAUUGGAGCGGCCGAUGUCAGAUUAGGUAGUUGGUGGGGUAAAGGCUCACCAAGCCAACGAUCUGUAGCUGGUCUGAGAGGACGACCAGCCACACUGGGACUGAGACACGGCCCAGACUCCUACGGGAGGCAGCAGUGGGGAAUUUUGGACAAUGGGGGCAACCCUGAUCCAGCAAUGCCGCGUGCAGGAAGAAGGCCUUCGGGUUGUAAACUGCUUUUGUACGGAACGAAACGGUCUGGUUAAUACCCUGGGCUAAUGACGGUACCGUAAGAAUAAGCACCGGCUAACUACGUGCCAGCAGCCGCCGUAACAC
rnacentral:rRNA from 1 species